GACGAACGCUGGCGGCGUGCUUAACACAUGCAAGUCGAGCGGAAAGGCCACUUCGGUGGUACUCGAGCGGCGAACGGGUGAGUAACACGUGAGUAAUCUGCCCCUCACUUUGGGAUAGCCACCGGAAACGGUGAUUAAUACCGGAUAUGACCAUAUGUCGCAUGGCGUGUGGUGGAAAGUUUUUCGGUGAGGGAUGGGCUCGCGGCCUAUCAGCUUGAUGGUGAGGUAAUGGCUCACCAUGGCUUCGACGGGUAGCCGGCCUGGGAGGGUGACCGGUCACACUGGGACUGAGACACGGCCCAGACUCCUACGGGAGGCAGCAGUGGGGAAUAUUGGACAAUGGGCGGAAGCCUGAUCCAGCAACGCCGCGUGAGGGAUGACGGCCUUCGGGUUGUAAACCUCUUUCAGUACCGACGAAGCGCAAGUGACGGUAGGUACAGAAGAAGCACCGGCCAACUACGUG
rnacentral:rRNA from 1 species